rnacentral:rRNA from 1 species
UGAAGACUCUGCUUGACUAGCUGAGAGGAGGUGCAUGGCCGUCGUCAGUUCGUACUGUGAAGCAUCCUGUUAAGUCAGGCAACGAGCGAGACCCACGCCAACAGUUGCCAGCAUGUCCUCCGGGAUGGUGGGGACACUGUUGGGACCGCCUCUGCUAAAGAGGAGGAAGGAAUGGGGCAACGGUAGGUCAGCAUGCCCCGAAUUAUCCGGGCUACACGCGGGCUACAAUGGUCAGGACAAUGGGCAUCAACACCGAAAGGUGAAGGCAAUCUCUUAAACCUGUCCUUAGUUCGGAUUGUGGGCUGCAACUCGCCCACAUGAAGCUGGAAUCUGUAGUAAUCGCGUCUCAAAAUGGCGCGGUGAAUAUGUCCCUGCUCCUU